GAUGAACGCUGGCGGCGUGCCUAAUACAUGCAAGUCGAGCGAACGGACGAGAAGCUUGCUUCUCUGAUGUUAGCGGCGGACGGGUGAGUAACACGUGGAUAACCUACCUAUAAGACUGGGAUAACUUCGGGAAACCGUAGCUAAUACCGGAUAAUAUUUUGAACCGCAUGGUUCAAAAGUGAAAGACGGUCUUGCUGUCACUUAUAGAUGGAUCCGCGCUGCAUUAGCUAGUUGGUAAGGUAACGGCUUACCAAGGCAACGAUGCAUAGCCGACCUGAGAGGGUGGACGGCCACACUGGAACUGAGACACGGUCCAGACUCCUACGGGAGGCAGCAGUAGGGAAUCUUCCGCAAUGGGCGAAAGCCUGACGGAGCAACGCCGCGUGAGUGAUGAAGGUCUUCGGAUCGUAAAACUCUGUUAUUAGGGAAGAACAUAUGUGUAAGUAACUGUGCACAUCUUGACGGUACCUAAUCAGAAAGCCACGGCUAACUACGUG
rnacentral:rRNA from 1 species